AAAAGAAACUAACAAGGAUUCCCCUAGUAACGGCGAGUGAAGAGGGAAGAGCUCAAAUUUUAAAUCUGCCUUGUUUCAAGGUCGAGUUGUAAUUUGAAGAUGCGUUUUCUCGGGCCCGCACCGGUAGAAGUUCUCUUGGAACAGGGCAUCAUAGAGGGUGAUAAUCCCGUCUGUGACCGGUCGCGAGUUCGUAUACGAUACGCACUCUAAGAGUCGAGUUGUUUGGGAUUGCAGCUCAAAACGGGUGGUAAACAUCACCUAAGGCUAAAUAUUGGCGAGAGACCGAUAGCGAACAAGUACCGUGAGGGAAAGAUGAAAAGAACUUUGAAAAGAGAGUUAAACAGUACGUGAAAUUGUUGAAAGGGAAACGCUUGAAGUCAGUCGUGCUGGCAUGAAAUCAACCGUUGCGCUAGUAAGUUGUCUGCGGGUGAGCUAAAAACCAUCGCGUUGAGAUUUUUGCGUGCGCAGCGGUGCACUUUUGUGUCAGCUGGUUAGCAUCAAUUUCGACCGUCAUAAAAAGGCUGGGGGGAUGUGGCUCCUUCGGGAGUGUUAUAACCCUUAGCGGAAUGUGGUGGACGAGAUUGAGGUUUGCAACG
rnacentral:rRNA from 1 species